rnacentral:rRNA from 1 species
CCUACGGGAGGCAGCAGUGGGGAAUAUUGGACAAUGGGGGGAACCCUGACGCAGCGACGCCGCGUGAGUGAAGAAGUAUUUCGGUAUGUAAAGCUCUAUCAGCAGGGAAGAAAGAAAUGACGGUACCUGACUAAGAAGCCCAGGCUAACUACGUGCCAGCAGCCGCGUUAAUACGUAGGGGGCAAGCGUUAUCCGGAUGUACUGGGUGUAAAGGGAGCGUAGACGGUUACGCAAGUCUGGAGUGAAAGGCGGGGGCGCAACCCCCGGACUGCUUUGGAAACUGUAUAACUGGAGUGCAGUAGAGGUAAGUGGAAUUCCUAGUGUAGCGGUGAAAUGCGUAGAUAUUAGGAGGAACACCAGUGGCGAAGGCGGCUUACUGGACUGUAACUGACGUUGAGGCUCGAAAGCGUGGGGAGCAAACAGGAUUAGAUACCCUAGUAGUC